rnacentral:tRNA from 1 species
GGGGCGGUGGCGAAAUGGCAGACGCAGCGGACUUAAAAUCCGCCGGGGGUGACUCCGUGUGGGUUCGACUCCCACCCGCCCUA